AUCUGGCUGGCUAGCUAUCGUAGCCUAUGAGGUUUAUCAAAGGCGCGAUUAUUGCUAGUUGAAAACUUAUGUCAGCGCUAGCCGGCUACCUAGCUAUGUCGCUUGCUAGCUAGCUAGCUAUAUUGGAAUUAGCUAGCU